UUUACCAGCCAAGUCCUCAUUUAAUUUAUUUGUUUUGAUCAUAGGGAAAAUGGCCGUCUGUACUGUUUCCCAUUGUGAUUAAAAACAUAAAAUAUGGAAAGCCUGGCAGUGAUUCUGAUGCUUAUGAUGCUGAAGGAAGAUUUGUGCCAGAGAAGUUUGAGGAGAUUUUCAAGAAGUAUGCACAUAAAAAUGCAAAUUCGUUAACAUCUAACGAAGUGAACGAAUUGCUCAAGAAAAAUAGAGAACCUAAGGACUACUUUGGAUGGCUUAAUGCUUCAACAGAUUGGAGGAUCCUAUAUGAUUUGGCGAAAGACAAGAACGGUGAAUUGACGAAAGAAGCAGUACGAGCUGUUUAUGAUGGAAGCCUUUUUGAACAAAUGGCAAGAGAGAAUGCUUCUAAGAA